AUUAGGGACUGCUGUUAUAAAACACACGUGGAAACUUUUUUUUUUUUUGUGCCAAAGAAAAGUUUAUUGUGACAUUAGUUCACUUUUGUCAGUUUAAAGCCCAAUCAAAACUGCCAAAUUAAGACCAACACCGACAUAUCUUUGUCGCCCAGAGCAGUUGUUAAAUUACGAUGCAUCCCAUUGUGUUUAGCACACUUCUCGGCACCACAGCGUUAAAUACAUAUGCCCCAUCAUCCAAGUUAAGGAUCGGGCUGCCCAGGCUCUCCCUCGAAGUCGGGAUCGAACACCGGAUCGAUCAUGGGAUCGACCACGGGAUCGAUCAGGGGACCAUCGCCAAAAUCAUCACUGGAACCUUCCUCGAACUCUUCCUCGGGAUCGUGCCUACCUUGACCCAUGGAAAGGGAGGGCAUGGCCACCAGUGCCAGCAGCAGGAAGAUGACGUGGAAUCUCAUGGUUUCUUCUCAAGGCAGGA